GAUGAACGCUGGCGGCGUGCUUAACACAUGCAAGUCGAACGGGAAUUCUUUUAUUGAGACUGCGGCCGAUUUAAUUUAAUUCUAGUGGCGGCCGGGUGAGUAACGCGUGGGUAUCCUGCCUUAUACAGGGGGAUAACAGUCAGAAAUGGCUGCUAAUACCGCAUCAGCGCACAGAGCUGCAUGUCUCAGUGUGUAAAGCUCCGGUGGAUUAAGAUGGACCCGCGUUGGAUUAGCUGGUUGGUGUGGUAACGGCCCACCAAGGCGACGAUCCGUAGCCGGAGUGAGACGGGGCACAGUCAGAUUGGGACUGGGACCAGACCCAGACGCCUGCGGGAGGCAGCAGUGGGGACUAUAGGGCAAUGGGGGAGACGCUGAAGCGGCGACGCCGCGUGAAGGAAGAAGUAUCUCGGAAUGUAAACUUCUAGCAGCAGGGAGGAUGGGGACGGUACCUGACUAAGAAGCCCCGGCUAACUACUG
rnacentral:rRNA from 1 species